rnacentral:lncRNA from 1 species
CAAGAAUUCUCAAGGAUACCAUCUCAUUAGAUACAAAAUCAUAUGUAUCAUGUCAUUCAAAACAUAUUUGAUUCAUAAUAAAUGGAGCAUAGAGUAAUUGGAGCAUAUCAAUGGCAGAUAGGACAUUUCAGAACAUAUCAGUUCAUAGCAAAUGGAGCACAGAGUAAUUGGAGCAUAUCAACGGCAUAUGGAACAUUUCGAAGCAUAUCAACAGUGAAUGAAACAUUUCAGAGCAUAUCAAAAACAAAUACCGUACAAAAGCUCAAACGUCGCCCUUGACGUUGCAAUCAUAUCAUUCUUAUCCAGAGCAUGAACAGAAACAACUCACCAAAACUCUGGAUGUCAUAUCAAACAUAUAGAAGGUGUAGUGGGAUCUCAGUCAGAAUAUGAUUCAUCCAUUUCUGAAUGACCACCUGACAAAAGUCUCCCACGUCUGGGAGCUCCAUCCACCCACGUCUAGGUGAAGUCAGAGGGGGCCGGUAGAGCAUCGCAGGCUCUAAGCACAUACCCUUUACCAUUUCUGGCAAAGGUUCAGAAUAUCCCACAGAGCGGGCAAUAAGCACAUACCCUUUACCAUUUCUAGCAAAGGUCCAGACAAUCCCACA